ACAAAAAACACACAAAAACAGGAACGAGCAGAAGAAAAUCAAACGAAGAAGAAACGAAAAAAACAAUACAAAAAGAAAACCAAACAAAAAUCUGGAGAGAACAAAAAAAGGGUAAUUCACAAAAAAAUGCCAAAAAAGAGAAAAAAGCGAAAAAGCGUGAAGCUUCAGCGAUUUUCCAGCUUCAGCAACCAAAAAUGACCCCAGCCCCUAUAUCAUCUUCUUCGUUGAAAUACACCAGCCGGAAUUCACAACAAAAAACGAACUCAAGAUCCCUCCCCGUCGAUCUUCUUCUGCUCGACGGCGAGCAGCCAUCGUCUCACUUUCUGCUGUCCAAAACAUCCAUGAGAGCUGCCUUUUUCCUCCAUGAACACUACCCAACGACCACCCUGUAAUCCAUCGCCAUACACGAAUAACCGGACGACCCCCUCACUGUUCUUCUUCUUCAUCACCUUUAGAGAACCGUUAACAGUGAGACGAUAGAACGAAGAACAAGUGCGAAAGGACACUAGUUGCCGUUGAGAUUCAGAUUCGUUGCUUCCAUUCGCGCUGGCAAAAUUCUUUCCGGUUUCUGUUCGAAGUCUAGUUGUUGUUCUGUUCGAUUUUGUCGCUGCUACGGCUGCUUCGUUCUCUUUUGGGUCAUGUUGAUUUAUUUUUUGUUUCAAAAAUUACGGGUUCGAUCGAGGUUGAGUUGAGUUCAAGUUCGUCGGCGUGAUUCGAGUUACUCCGGCAAAGUUCGUUAAGUCUGUUGCCUGCGUUUCAAAAACUACGGGUUCGAUCGAGGUUGAGUUGAGUUCAAGUUCGUCGGCGUGAUUCGAGUUACUCCGGCAAAGUUCGUUAAGUCUGUUGCCUGCCGAGCUUCUGUUCGUGAUCUUAUUUCUUGUGAGCCUCGAAAUAGCCGGAGUUUUUGAAUUUCAAGUUCUAUUUAAGGUCCAGCCCUAUCUAUUAUUUACUGUUGAUCUCGUACAUUUGCGAUGUUUCUGCGUGGUGUGAUCAUGUGGAUCCGUUGGUAUGUUCACGAUUAUCUAGCGGGUUGUUAUAUUUCUUUGGAAUCGGAUUCGUUGAUGAUGAUAAACAUAUUACUGAUAUUAAUUGGUUAAGAAAAUUACUAGAUCAUAAUUCCUCAAAGAAAGUCAUACAAUAUAAUUAAUUUAGAUAAUUAACAUCCUUUUUUGAAAAAAUCAAAGUCUACGGCUAUUGGUGAUGUUUAAAUUGUUGGACGAUUAUUCUGUUUUUCGGUUGUUUUGUUUUGUGUGCGUGAGCCUCUUAAUUUUGUGUUGAUUUGAUCCAGUUAAGGGUUUCCCUUUAAUCAAUUUCUGAGUAUGUGUUCAAAUAGUUUUUUGCUGCAAUGGUCACUAAGAAAGAAA
rnacentral:lncRNA from 1 species